UAGGGAAUCUUCCACAAUGGACGCAAGUCUGAUGGAGCAACGCCGCGUGAGUGAAGAAGGUUUUCGGAUCGUAAAGCUCUGUUGUUGGUGAAGAAGGAUAGAGGCAGUAACUGGUCUUUAUUUGACGGUAAUCAACCAGAAAGUCACGGCUAACUACGUGCCAGCAGCCGUCGUAAUACGUAGGUGGCAAGCGUUGUCCGGAUUUAUUGGGCGUAAAGCGAGCGCAGGCGGAAUGAUAAGUCUGAUGUGAAAGCCCACGGCUCAACCGUGGAACUGCAUCGGAAACUGUCAUUCUUGAGUGCAGAAGAGGAGAGUGGAAUUCCAUGUGUAGCGGUGGAAUGCGUAGAUAGAUGGAAGAACACCAGUGGCGAAGGCGGCUCUCUGGUCUGCAACUGACGCUGAGGCUCGAAAGCAUGGGUAGCGAACAGG
rnacentral:rRNA from 1 species